AUACUGUCAGGGGAGAUACCAUGACCAUGAUGUUGGUUUUCACAGGGUGAGACUUACCCAUUACACUCCAGAUGUGAUUUCGCCAUAUGUGGGAAACUGAGCUUCAUAAUUUGUGAUAGUUGGGGACUAGGUUCAUGCUUUCCCCUA
rnacentral:snRNA from 1 species